rnacentral:rRNA from 1 species
UACGGAAGGCAGCAGUGGGGAAUAUUGCACAAUGGGCGCAAGCCUGAUGCAGCCAUGCCGCGUGUAUGAAGAAGGCCUUCGGGUUGUAAAGUACUUUCAGCGGGGAGGAAGGCGGUGAAGUUAAUAGCUUCACCGAUUGACGUUACCCGCAGAAGAAGCACCGGCUAACUCCGUGCCAGCAGCCGCGGUAAUACGGAGGGUGCAAGCGUUAAUCGGAAUUACUGGGCGUAAAGCGCACGCAGGCGGUCUGUCAAGUCGGAUGUGAAAUCCCCGGGCUUAACCUGGGAACUGCAUUCGAAACUGGCAGGCUAGAGUCUUGUAGAGGGGGUAGAAUUCCAGGUGUAGCGGUGAAAUGCGUAGAGAUCUGGAGGAAUACCGGUGGCGAAGGCGGCCCCUGGGACAAAGCUGACGCUCAGGGUGCGAAAGCGUGGGGAGCAAACAGGGAUUAGGAUACC